CAACAAUGUAAAUGCACUUAAAGUCACAAAACUGUAUAUUUAAAAAUGGUUCGGUUGGUAAUUUUUAUGUCACACAUAUUUUACCAGCAUGUUUUAAACAGGGAGAGAAAAGCACGUGAGCAGUGGACAUGAGUUCUCCGCCCUCCGUCCCCUACUAGUGUCUCCUCCACCACGGGCUCACAGCGGCCUCCCCAGGGCCUUGGAGGGAGGCUGCCCCGCUCCCCCAGGGCGCACGCUGGGCUUCCUUUGCUCUUAAAGAAAUGGGAAGUUUUAUGUCUACAAUUCUCCAGACAGGCAUGCAGUCCAGGGAAGCCUUCCCAUUAAAGGAAUGUAAGAAGCCGGAAGGAUAUUUUUCAUGAUAUCAUUCCUCUGCCCUUUCUAACAGGCAUUCUUCAGAUUGGAGGAAUCUUAACUCAACACCCCAGUCUCCUUGCCAGUGGCCAAGGACACUGGUUCUUUUCAAGGCACGUUUCUACCUCUGGACCACCUCAGCCCUUGGAUUUAUGCGGUCCCUAGAAAGGUCUAGAAAGUCAAAGGUCAGGAAGAGGCAUCCUGCGUCUGGUGAGGGAGCCUGUUCAGAGCCCUCAACGGGGACAAGGACACAAUGUGAGCAGACUUCUAUUCGUUUUCAAGGUGAUGGGCCCAAGGCCUAGGACCCCAGACAAAUAAGGGGAGUGGGCUUGGAGGGUCCCAUACCUGCCAGGGAAGGCCCACUGGAAGGAGGUGGGGAGCAAAUGCAGGGCUCCCACUGUGAAGCCACGGCCUUGGACAGGGCGGGGUGCCUGUGACACGCGACCCGGUAAAGACAGAAGAAGCAGAACAGAGUGUGAGGUGUGAGCCAGCUGAUGGGCUUGAAGCUGUCAGGACCUGGAGCAGGCAGAGAAGCCAGAUCUGCCUAUCUAGGAGAACUUUGCAGCCCAAGCAUCCAGGUUUUCUACAUCAGCUGCUUCACCCAAGUCACUGCCAGCUCAUAAAGUGCUUGCCUGACUCACUGGCUUUUCUCCCUACAAUGAUGCUGUUUUAUUAAAUGUUGUUG
rnacentral:lncRNA from 1 species